rnacentral:snRNA from 1 species
CCUGUGCAAGGAUGAUAUGCAAAUUCGUGAAGUGUUCCAUACUUUU